AUGUGAAAUUUACCCGAUGGUCAAACGUCACGUGUUCACAACGUCAACCUUUACAUUUCUCAAUUUGUUAAGAAAAUCACCCAGAAUGCCUCUCGAUUAGCUCAGCUGCUAAUUGCUCUCUUGUUACGCUCUCGUUGAGCUCAGCGAUGUCAGCGGUUCAACCCCCUCCUCAGGGGGCUGUGAAGAGAAAGGGCAAGAACAAUCCAAAACCAAACCAGCGCGAGAAGCUCACUCACUGUAUUCUGUGUCGAAAGUUCUUUUCAAGACCUGAAGCACAUGAGCACAUGCACGGUAUGCCGCACCACAGAGAGCUGGAGUCGGUGCUGGGCCGGAACAGGUCUGUGUUUCAUGGAUGCCAGGCGUGUGAACUGUACUCCAUGGGUUUGUACGAAUUCGCCCAGCACAUAUCCACUCCACUACAUAAAGCAAAGUUGCAGAGCUUGAUCUCCACAAACGUAAAGCCUCAUCCUCUGGUUAAGAUUCUGAACCAUGAAGACAUCUGCCGGAUCUUAGACAGAAACAAGACACUGGAGAGAGAGGGGAAGAAACAAAAGGGAAGGAAGAAAAAGAAACAGAAGCAGAUAGUGGCUGAGAAAGGUGCAAAGAAGGUGCAGGGAUCCACCAAUGUAGUGAAGAUGCAAAUAUCCAAACAAGUGAACCAAAGGACACAGCAGCAGAUGCAGCGAACGCUCCAGAAAGGUAGAAGCAUUGUUGUUUUUCAAAACAAGGAGAACAAAGUGUCGAGUGUGCAAAGACCUCUUUACAGAAGAGAAGCGACUCCGCAGAAUGAAAGUAGAAGACUGGAAGGUACUUCAGGACAACCUGCUGGUAGACCUCGGCAUCACGAUCAUGUCAGAGAAAAGAUCCCACAGUCGAGUUACCAGCACAUCAACGUCGAUGUGGAGCACUCACAAACAGAGAGAUCCGUUAGAAGACCACACAAGACCCAUGACGGUGCCAGGACUGACAUGCCGGAACAAACUAGAUGGCCUGACAGCUACUAUGAUGACUAUUACAGCAGGCAGUAUAAUGGAGCCACCAUCUUUGAUCACAGCCUGAAUGAGCGUACUGGAUCUUCUCAGCCGGUACAAGAAAGUUCACAUUGUUCCUCUAAUCCUGCUUCAGCUGACAGAUCCACCGGUGCAGCUCCGAAUAGAGAGGUUGACAUCAGUUUGAUGUUGAGGCAAAUCAGAAGAACGCUGGGUGUGAGGGAGCCAUGCAGAGCAGAUCGUGAAGCAAGGAGGCAGAGAAGUGAGGCAAGUGUUCGGGUCACUGAUAGCAGCACCACGCAACAGACUGAAACCGAGACAGGGAAACCUUCAGGUGCUGCAAGUACAUCUGUGCAAAAACCACAGGUCAACACCUUUGUACCUGCGGCCCCUUCUGGUGUUCGUCCUUCUAAUACUGCUCCCGCCACGCCAAAACAGACCACUGUCAAAGUUAUACAAAAAAUUACUGGAAGUGCAGGCAACGCCACAUCCACGGACCACAGCAACCGCAGGGUUCGAAUUGCCCACCAACCAAGAAAAACUCAGGCGGGGAAGGAGGCUGGACGUAAAUUGACCCUGAACAAGCUGCUCAAUGCGUCAGGGGCCAAGUACAAGCUGAGCUGGAGUGAGAUGUACAACAAGAGGAAAAGAGAGAGGCAGGUCAACAUCACAAGAACGCCCAGGUUAAGAAUUGAGUUGUCGAACCCUCCGCCUGAAAACAAAAGCUCAACACAACCACCGGACACUGACCUGCCUCUGUCUGAAGGCUUCCACUGGGAGUCGAUCCCAGACAGUCCUUCAGUGACACCCUUGACUGUCCCGCCGCCACCGCAGGACACGACAGGUAGCGAUUCCCACAGGGACGUCCAGUCAGUGUCUUUGAAGCAGGGACCUGGCACAGCACGUCAGGGGGGGAGCAGUCCCACAGCAGCUCCUGUCAAAGCAAAGCCAAGUGUGGAGAAUGGAGGUUUGAGUAGUGCCAACAAGAGGAAGCACAACAUGGAUGAGAACAUUUCUGACAACAAGGAGACGAAUGGAAAAAAGAAAAGAACAAAUUCAAACAAAGAUCAGGAUCCGAUGAACAAGCUGUUGGCCGUGUCUCUGAGGGAGGACGAGCUGAGCCAGUCGCUGCAGGAUCUGGACAUUUCUCUGGUCCAGGCUCGAAACGUGCUGCAGGCGGCCUACGCAGAGGUCCAGACACUUCUGUUACUGAGACAGCAGUUUACAGAUGAGGUCAACACUCUGAGAGCCAAACGCAUUGAGAUCCUGCAGGGGAUGCAAGAGGGCUACUCAGGAGCGUCUAAGAUAACCAACGCCUCAUCAGCAGGCGCCGCUGCUCCCCUGCAACCGAGACGCUCUUCCCUUCCUUCCUCUAGUGCCGUCUUGGCUUCCUCGAAGCAGCUACCGUCUGCCUCAACCUCAGCGGCUCUUAUCUCCCAUCCUCGUCCAACUCCCCUCGCUCCGCUGGCCACGUCAGUAAAGGAAGAAGCCACAGCUGUCUCCUCCAGCACCGAUGCACCUCACAUACCUCUGAACCAACCUGUGCCUUUAUUUCCCUCUGAGCUUCGCCCCCCACUGCUGCUCGGACCCUCACACUCAGCUGCUGCCUCGACGUCAGUGAACACACAUCUGCAGCAGGAGCAAGCAUCAAGGGAGGCGUCAAAGGACUGUGUUGAGACGACAAGGUUAACGAAGGAGGAAGCAUCUGCUGCAGUGCUAGUCAAUGACGAUGGGAGCGAGAGCGACAACUCUGUGAAAGUGAUGGAGCCCUCCGACCCGGUGGUUAUCAGCAUUGAUGAAUCGGACAACGAGGACUCACCCGAGACUGACUCGGAUGUUUCCGCUCUCCCACAGCCGCCUCAGCAGACUGCGAGUGUGGAGUUGAGUUCUGGGAGCACGCAGACGUUUCAGCAAAAGGAGGUUGACAGAAAAAUUCCAGUUUCUUUGCCAGUGAAAGCUGCCAAAUCUCCUGCAGAGUCUGUUGAGGAUGGGGAGCCGUCCCUGGGAGAGUUUCUGAGUCACGCCGGCCCCGUACACGGCAUGCAAGUCCACGAGGACGUGUUGUACACAUGUUCAGGGGACAACACAGCACGAGCCUACAGUCUGACGACCAGGGAGUGUAUAGCCAGAUUUGAGGGUCACACAAACAAAGUCAACUGUCUGCUGGUGGCGUCUGUCUCGAAGUGGCCGGCUCGUCUCUACACGGGAUCAAGUGACCAGACCAUCCACUGCUACAGCAUAAAGUCAAAGAAGUGUCUGGAGCAGAUCUCUUUAGCAGACAGAGUGUUGUGUUUGCACCUAGCCUGGGACAUUUUGUAUGUUGGACUCGCCAAUGGAUCAGUCGUUAGCUUCUAUUUUAGGCUUCUGAAGCUGCUUGAUGUGUUUGAAUGCCACGGCCCUCGAGGGGUGAGCUGUCUGGGCACGUCGCAGGAGGGCGCCCGCCGGGUGCUGCUGGUCGGCUCCUACGACAGCACCAUCAGCGUACGAGACGCCAAGAGCGGCCUGCUGCUGCGCUCGCUGGAGGGUCACACCGGAACAGUUCUCUGUAUGAAGGUGGUGAACGACCUGGUCUUCAGCAGCUCCAUUGACACCUCUGUUCACGCCCACAACAUCCAUACGGGUGAGUUGCUUCGUAUCUACAAGGGUCACGGUCACGCCGUCACGUCAAUCAUCAUCUUGGGGAAGGUGAUGGUGACGGCCUGUCUGGAUCGGCUGGUCCGAGUUUACGAGCUACAGUCCCAUGAACACCUGCAGGUGUGCGGGGUUCACAGUGACAUGGUGAUGUGCAUGACCAUUCAUAAGAGCGUGAUCUACACAGGCUGUUACGAUGGCAGCGUUCAAGCAGUGAAGCUCGACUUGAUGAAGAACUACCGCUGCUGGUGGCAGAACUGCUCUCUUAUUUUCGGCGUGGCGGAGCAUCUUGUGCGUCAUCUUGUCGGCGACCACACCAACCCCAAUCAGCAGACGGUCAAAUGUCGCUGGAGAGGCUGUGACAAGUUCUUCUCCACACAACAGUCAGUUCGACAGAAGCUGCCUGAUCACAUGUGCAACCACGUGGACAAGGACAGUCAGAGUUCAGACACCAUCAAAUGUUGCUGAAGUUAGAAGAUUUUGUGGAAGAUAAAAACGACAAACAACGCUUUACCUGCUGGUUCACUGUUUCAUGAAGGAGCUCUGCAGACUCAGACUUUUGCACAUGUGAGAACCUGGGAUCAGUUUAUCAUUAAUUAAGGUUUGGUGAUUAAGGAGGUUUGGUGAUUAAAAUAUUUUGCAUCAAAUGUGGAAAUCGUCUGUUACUUUUUUUGGAGGAAACCCUCUUGUCCUCCAAUUUAAACACAUCAUCUUUCUGAGUGACCGAGGAAAGAAGUGAAAGUUAUUAUAAGUUGAUAGAUUUAUAGUUUAUCUUGAACGGUGCUGUAUUAAUGUUAUGGUUUGUAUUUCACUUGUAAUAAAAUCCAUACUGCAAGUGUACAGCAAUAAAAAGACAAAUAGCA